rnacentral:rRNA from 1 species
CCCGUGGCAUUGCCGGGUAGCUAUGUUCGGAAGAGAUAACCGCUGAAAGCAUCUAAGCGGGAAACUUGCCUCAAGAUGAGAUCUCACUGGAGCCUUGAGCUCCCUGAAGGGCCGUCGAAGACUACGACGUUGAUAGGUGGGGUGUGUAAGCGUUGUGAGGCGUUGAGCUAACCCAUACUAAUUGCCCGUGAGGCUUGACCAUAUAACACCCAAACAAUU